rnacentral:lncRNA from 1 species
GAAAAGUACUGCAGGAGCAGAAGAAAACUGUUUUGGCAAACUACAGAAGACUUGGUUGAAAAAGGCAGUUCCAUGUGACCUGUGACACGGCCCUGAGCUGUGUCGGUGGCACGGACAAGCCACACAAGUUCAGCAAGAAGCCAGUAAGGAACAUCACAGGAGCUGGAGCAGCAACUUCUUGCCUGCAGGGCUGACGCCGCAGCUCGGAAGGGGUUACACGCACCUGGAUGGGAGAUGUCAGGUGCACUGUCUGCAAGCCAAAGAGGCGGAAAUGUCACGGCGCCUGCCAGGGACCUGCUUCUGGUCCUGCGAAAGCGAGCGAGAGGUGCAGACUGCUGUUUUCCAGCAAAAACACACAGGCUGGAAAGGUGGAUGCACCGCAAGUGCUGACACAAGCUUAAUUACACAGCACCGCAGAACAGACAGACUUAUGAAAAAUGCAGUGUGGGAACAGAAUAUUUCUACCACCCCCUGUUAGCUGCUUACAGGCAGCUGCAGCACUGCUCUGGGCUUCUUAGCUGCAGCUCUUACUGCCUGUAGCCCAGUCCUUGCUCCCUUCUCCCUUCCCAGAAGAGGUGCUCGGUAAAAAUACGGGCAGCUGCCUGAAAUGUGCAGCAAGCGUGUGCUGACUUCGACCUCAACAGCCGGGAUGCUGAAGGAUGCUGUCCCAGGGGCUUGUGGCUCUUUGCUGUGACACCGGGCACCUCCCGCCCUUCGGCCGUGACACUCGAGGGGACCAGCUUUGAUAAAGGGCCCUGCUGGAAAGGCUUCGUGUGCGUGAAAACCCAACUGUGAUGAAACUGCCUCAAACUGCAUGGCCCCAUUUCACCUGUGCUUCUUGACGCAACAGGAGGCAGCGGCUGCGUGCGGGGAACACACCCAGGCCCGGUGGGCCUUCAUCUACGGCCUCCAUGCACGCCCCGACACCCCGACCCCGCCACGACACCGCACCCCGACACCGCACCACGACGCCACCGACGCCGCGCCGCAGCUUUCCCACGGCCGCGCGCCGCGUGGGCGGCGCCGCGGCGGCUGGGGCGGGCGGCUAUUGGCCGAGCGCGGCGCGGCGGCGGCCAAUGGGUGAGGCGGGGGCCGCGCGUGGCGGCGGGCGGCGGCU